GGAAAGCAUAGGUGACCAUCCCUUUAAGAGCAGAGAAUCACCCCUCUUAUAUGGUUAGCAGACCCAUUUCACAUUCCGCCUCCCCAUCACACUCACACGUGGAAACGUGUAAAAGCUGGAAGUACAUUCAUCUUACAUUCAUCACAAGCCUAUCUUGAAUGGGAGUUUAGCGCAGCCUAACUUGGCUGCUGCUCCCCAACAUGGCUGCCACUCCCCGGCCAAUCAGAAGCUUCCACGAUGGACGCAAAGGUGGGGGCUAGGGUCCUCUGCGUCCACAUGGAAGAUUGGCAUACUUUCAUUGUUUGUCU
rnacentral:lncRNA from 11 species